UGGGGAAUUUUCCGCAAUGGGCGAAAGCCUGACGGAGCAAUGCCGCGUGGAGGUGGAAGGCCUACGGGUCGUCAACUUCUUUUCCCGGAGAAGAAACAAUGACGGUAUCUGAGGAAUAAGCAUCGGCUAACUCUGUGCCAG
rnacentral:rRNA from 1 species